AGCAAUAUAGCUUAGCUGCACAAGUGCCUGCCUGGCAAGCACAAGGUCGUGAAUUUGAUCCUCACUAGAGCUG
rnacentral:tRNA from 1 species